GACAGAGGGGGCAAGCGUUGCUCGGAAUUACUGGGCGUAAAGGGCGCGUAGGCGGGAUGGCAAGUCGGUCGUGAAAUCCCUCGGCUCAACUGAGGUACGUCGAUCGAUACUGCCGUUCUUGAGGGUUGCAGAGGAGACUGGAAUUCCCGGUGUAGCGGUGAAAUGUGUAGAGAUCGGGAGGAACACCGGUGGCGAAGGCGGCAUCCUGGACCAACACUGACACUGAGGAGCGAAAGCCAGGGGAGCAAACGGG
rnacentral:rRNA from 1 species